ACCUGCGCUUCCAUUUCACGGUCAGACAGGCCACCGCAGAUCUGGAUAAUACGGUCAGACAGCGUCGAUUUACCGUGGUCGAUGUGAGCUAUGAUUGAAAAGUUACGUAUGUUCUUCAUAUAGUGUAAUUAUUGUGCCUUACGCCCGCCUGAGCAGGCUCUGAGAAGUCGCUGAUCUGAGCUUAACGUCUGUUUAAGUGAAACGCCGCAUUCUACACUACAACGCUGAGGCGAGGAAAUGUUCAUAGAGCAAGGAUAGCGGGAACUGGAAACAACUUUGCAAAGUCGGUGAAACUUUUGCCGGAUGGCGACACAAGCGCCAUCCGGCAAAGCUAUCACUGUUGGGUUUCGACGCGAAUGAGAUCGGGUGGGAGAGCAACGUUCAGAAUGACCGGCUGCCAGGCUUCGCGCUCAGCAAGCUUACGAGAGUAUCCACGGGCAAUCAGGAAUCCGCCCACGCCCCCCAGCACGGCACCGCUUAAUGCCGCAAGGUCGGAACCAAACAGCACCUGGAAUAGCGCCGCGAAGAGAAAGAGCCCCGCCAACGGAGACAUGUAGACCAACAUCGCUGAACCCAGCAGGCUACCCUCGGCAAUACCCAGUUCAACUUUUUGACCGGGCGCUAAGGGUUCGUCGCUGGGCACCACGAUGGUAUGCGUGGUCUGCGGCCCAAGUUUGUUCAGCACGCGGCUCCCGCAUCCGGCCCGCGAAGCACAGCUGCUACAUGAUGCUUUAACAUCACAGCUGACCGUCGCCAGACCAUUUUGCCAGGAGACGACUGUCGCCCACUCUUUAAUCAUUGUGCAGCCCUGAACUUAAUAUUGUCCGCGAUACGC
rnacentral:ncRNA from 25 species